AGCCUGAGAAACGGCUACCACAUCUACGGAAGGCAGCAGGCGCGCAAAUUGCCCAAUCCCGACACGGGGAGGCAGUGACAAGAAAUAACAACUCUUGGAUUUCUAAGAAGUGUAAUGAGGAUAAUUUACAACCCUUACCGAAAGCAAUUGGAGGGCAAGUCUGGUGCCAGCAGCCGCGGUAAUUCCAGCUCCAAUAGCGUAUAUUAAAGUUGUUGCAGUUAAAAAGCUCGUAGUUGAAGUUCUGAUUGUUCGGGCCUCGCGCUUUAUAGCCGAGGAACCGACAGUCAUCCGCUUGCAAAUAUAUGUUCGCCUUUAACCGGGUGGCUAUAUGAGUAAGCAAUUUACCUUGAGAAAAACAGAGUGUUCCAGGCAGGUUUGUCCGGAAUGCAUUAGCAUGGAAUAAUAGAAUAUGACUGAAGUCGAUUUAUUGGUUUAAGGCUUUAGUAAUGAUUAAUAGGAACAGUCGGGGGCAUUGGUACUUGACAGUCAGAGGUGAAAUUCUAGGAUUUGUCAAAGACUAACAAAUGCGAAAGCAUUUGCCAAGGAUGUUUUCAUUAAUCAAGAACGAAAGUUAGGGGAUCAAAGACGAUCAGAUACCGUCCUAGUCUUAACUAUAAACUAUACCGACUCGGAUUCAGAUGAAUCAAAAAGUUCAUUUGGGACCGUAGGAGAAGUCAAAGUUUUUGGGUUCUGGGGGAAGUAUGGUCGCAAGGCUGAAACUUAAAGGAAUUGACGGUUUUGCACCACCAUGGAGUGGAGUUUGCGGUUUAAUUUGACUCAACACUGGGAAACUCAUCAGGGCAAGAAGAUUUUAGGAUUGACAGAUUGAGAGUUCUUUCUUGAUUGGUCUAGUGGUGGUGCAUGGCCGUUCUUAGUUGGUGGAGUGAUUUGUCUGGUUAAUUCCGUUAACGAACGAGACCUUAACCUGCUAACUAGUAUUAGUAUCCCAAAUACUAACUACUUCUUAGAGGGACUAUGUGAUGUAAUCACAUGGAAGUUUGAGGCAAUAACAGGUCUGUGAUGCCCAAUCACUAGU
rnacentral:rRNA from 1 species